rnacentral:rRNA from 1 species
CAGCAGCCGCGGUAAUACGUAGGUGGCAAGCGUUGUCCGGGUUUAUUGUGCGUAAAGCGAGCGCAGGCGGUCAAUUAAGUCUGAUGUGAAAGCCCCCGGCUCAACCGGGGAGGGUCAUUGGAAACUGGGAAACUUGAGUGCAGAAGAGGAGAGUGGAAUUCCACGUGUAGCGGUGAAAUGCGUAGAGAUGUGGAGGAACACCAGUGGCGAAGGCGACUCUCUGGUCUGUAACUGACGCUGAGGAGCGAAAGCGUGGGGAGCGAACAGGAUUAGAUACCCCGGUAGUCCCUGUCUCUUAUAC